GAUGAAGAACGCAGCGAAAUGCGAUAAGUAGUGUGAAUUGCAGAAUUCAGUGAAUCAUCGAAUCUUUGAACGCACAUUGCGCCCCUUGGUAUUCCGGGGGGCAUGCCUGUUCGAGCGUCAUUUCAACCCUCAAGCUUCUGCUUGGUCUUGGGCCGUGCCGGCAACGGCUGGCCUUAAAACUAGUGGCGGUGCCAUCGAGCUCUACGCGUAGUAAUUCUAUCUCGCGUCUGGGCUUCGGUGGACGCUGGCCAGCAACCCCCAAUUUUCUAUGGUUGACCUCGGAUCAGGUAGGGAUACCCGCUGAACUUAAGCAUAUCAAUAAGCGGAGGA
rnacentral:misc_RNA from 1 species